rnacentral:rRNA from 1 species
AGUUGGGCACUCUAGCGAGACUGCCGGUAAUAAACCGGAGGAAGGUGGGGAUGACGUCAAAUCAUCAUGCCCCUUAUGACCUGGGCUACACACGUGCUACAAUGGUUGGUACAACGAGUUGCGAGUCGGUGACGGCGAGCUAAUCUCUUAAAGCCAAUCUCAGUUCGGAUUGUAGGCUGCAACUCGCCUACAUGAAGUCGGAAUCGCUAGUAAUCGCGGAUCAGCACGCCGCGGUGAAUACGUUCCCGGGCCUU